GACCGUCAAGCGGCGCCGCGUAGCGGCCGGUCUGGGAUAAUGCAGUAGCAGUUGGACCUCGGUCUAUCCCAGAUCGUCAUCUAGGCUCGAGCGUGUUUAUGUAACUCCAGUGCUAUGCUGUGUCUCUGGGAGGAGGAGACGGCAGAGCUGGGAGUAGAAGGUGGCAGCAUGGCAAAGAUGAGGCAGCCUUGCACCAGGCACAGAGAGGAGAAGGAGAUGGCAGAGCAGGGAGAAGAAGGCAUGGCAAAGAAGAGGUGGCCGCACAGCAGGCAUAGGGAGGAGGAGGCGGCAGCAUGGAGAUGAGUAGAAGAAAUCGGCACGUGGAGCAGGCUUUGUCCCUGUUGUUGCGCCUGGUUGCCGUGGCGACGUAUGUAGCUCCCAGCAUACACUGUACCGGAAAUGGGGCUGGCGGUGCUGGCCGGAGCUGCGGGGACCUCACGAUCAGUUCACUAUAUAUUUAAGUCUCCAAAAAGUCACAAAGACCCCCUGGGCCAGUCUCCACUCCUACUGAAGCUGAGGAUGCUGAUGAUGCUGGUCCAUCCACACACGUGUUGCCACCACGGAAACGCCGUCUGGGUGUGUCUUCUAGGCUAGUACACAUCACAACACCAUGGCAACGCAUGUUGGAGGCAUCAGCCAUACCACCAAUGCAGCUCCUCGACAGUCCGCAGCCAUUGUCAUCACAUUCGCCACACCUGCCUGGGGAUCCCAUUCUUCACCCAACUCAGCCGGACAAGUGCAGGAACCUGACAAUGAAGAGACAUUCACCUUAAAUCUCACAGCAAUACCACCGCCUGACCCAACAACUACACAUUUGUCUACUCUGCCCACUCAAAGGACACCAGGACAGGAAAUGAGCCCUACCACACCACUACCACAGUCUCAGGAACAGGCUUUUUGGGACAGCUGGUCCAUCCAGCAUGCCAAUAACUUAGAUUGUUUGCAUAGGCAAACCCAAUUUAUUGAUAGUCUGGUCCAUCACGUCCCAAGAUUAUGCAGAAACAACACUAGACAAACCACAGAACUGACCAAAUUGCUAACACCCUGGAAUUAAUGAGGGCAGACAAUAAUAGGAUGCUAGACACAUACCAAAGAAUCAUGGAUGAGAAUCACAGGCUCCAUCAAGCCUACCUACAGAUAUUAACUUCAACACAAAACACACAAGAGAACAUGGUCCGAAUCAUGGAAACCCACACGACAGCCACUAGAGACUUGAAUAUCACUCUAACUACCCUAACCCAACAUCUCAGACCUUAAUCUGAGCAAACAAGUACCAGUUCUACAGCAACAACCCCCUUAGUGUCACCUGUAACCUCACCACCAAGAUGUGCUGGCCGAACACGACCAGACACAAGUGGGAAAGGCCCAUCCAGCUCCAGAGGACGACCUGCAAAAUAAUUUAUCUUAAUCAUGUGUUUGAAAUGGACAUUGGUAAUUGUAUGCAAAUAGCAUUUUACAUGUUCUGGUCAAAAUUAAGGCCAUGGUUUAUUUUUUUGUAAACAAAUGUUACGGAGGGUAUCCGGUCUCUAGGUCGACAAGACAUAGGUCGACCGUGUCUAUCCACUAUUGGUCGACAGUAACUAGGUCAACUGGGUUUCUAGGUCGACAUGUUCUAGGUCGACGGGUCAAAAAGUCAACAUGAGUUUUUCACUUUUUUCUUUUUUUAAACUUUUUCAUACUUUACGAUCCACGUGGACUAUGUUUGGGAAUGGUAACCUGUGCUGAGCGCAGCGGUAAUGGAGUGAGGCAACUUGCCCGAAGCAUGGCUUGCGAAGCGAGCCAUGCGAGGCGACGCGGUGCACUAACUGGGGUUCCCGGUCACUGUACGGCGAAAAUGUCACCAACAUUUUUUUUUAAAGUCACGUCGACAUUUUGACCUGUUGACCUAGAGACCCUGGCGACCUAGAAUCCAUAUCGACCUAGUUACUGUCAACCAAUAGUGGUCGACCUAGACACUGUCGACCUAAGUGUGGUCAACCUUCAAUACCAGACCCAUUACAAAUCAACAUAUCCAAGACUAAAACCAAGGCAAAAAAUAAAAAAGUUGUCUGUCAAUUAUUUCUAGAGUAAUUAGAGUACAGUUGUUUAAGUAUAUAAUAUGCAUGGUGACAUUCAAGCAACAUAGAUUACGCAUGCAGCAGUGGUAAAGUAUUGAUAUAGGGGAUAAUUCCAAGUUGAUCGCAGCAGGAAU